GACGAACGCUGGCGGCGUGCUUAACACAUGCAAGUCGAACGGAAAGGCCCUGCUUUUGUGGGGUGCUCGAGUGGCGAACGGGUGAGUAACACGUGAGUAACCUGCCCUUGACUUUGGGAUAACUUCAGGAAACUGGGGCUAAUACCGGAUAGGAGCUCCUGCUGCAUGGUGGGGGUUGGAAAGUUUCGGCGGUUGGGGAUGGACUCGCGGCUUAUCAGCUUGUUGGUGGGGUAGUGGCUUACCAAGUCUUUGACGGGUAGCCGGCCUGGGAGGGUGACCGGCCACAUUGGGACUGCGAGACGGCCCAGACUCCUACGGGAGGCAGCAGUGGGGAAUAUUGCACAGUGGGCGGAAGCCUGAUGCAGCAACGCCGCGUGCGGGAUGACGGCCUUCGGGUUGUAAACCGCUUUCGCCUGUGACGAAGCGUGAGUGACGGUAAUGGGUAAAGAAGCCCCGGCUAACUACGUG
rnacentral:rRNA from 1 species